ACGGCCCCAUCCCCCCUCCUUUCCCAUUCUUUCCAACCUUCCAAACACUCUCUGCACUCUGCAAGCAUUAGCUCUCUCUCUCUCUUCUUCUACUUCCUCGAGCCUAUAGAAUCCAUUUCACUAUGUAGGAUAAUACCCAGAAAAGAACUCGUGUACAAACCCUAUUUUUUGGAUUGCAGAACAUGAUUUCCUGAGAAAAAUUCCUGAAAUCUGAUUAUGCUAAUAUCAAUUGCAAUGGUAUUUGUAAUAUAAAAGAUACACUAAAACGGAAAAAGAAAAUUAAAGAAAAAGCAACAAUGUCAGGAAAAGAUACAGAAAAGAAAGUGGCCGAUAGGUAUCUAAAGCGUGAAGUGCUUGGUGAAGGUACGUAUGGUGUCGUCUACAAAGCCAACGAUACUAAGACUGGACAGACAGUGGCAAUUAAGAAAAUUCGCCUUGGGAAGCAAAAGGAAGGGAUCAAUUUUACAGCACUUAGAGAGAUUAAACUCCUUAAAGAGCUUAAAAACCCUAAUAUAAUUGAGUUGAUUGAUGCAUUUCCUCACAAGGGGAACUUGCAUCUUGUGUUUGAGUUCAUGGAGACUGAUCUUGAAGCAGUUAUUCGUGAUCGAAACAUAUUUCUUUCACCAGCUGACAUAAAAUCAUACUUCCAAAUGACAUUGAAAGGACUGGCUUAUUGCCAUAGGAAAUGGAUUUUGCAUAGAGAUAUGAAGCCGAACAACUUGUUGAUAGCUUCUAAUGGACAGCUUAAACUUGCGGAUUUUGGUUUAGCACGUAUAUUUGGAAGCCCAGGUCGAAAGUUCACUCACCAAGUCUUUGCCCGGUGGUAUAGAGCGCCAGAACUGUUGUUUGGCACCAAACAAUACGGUGCUGGGGUUGAUGUUUGGGCUGCAGCCUGUAUAUUUGCUGAACUCCUCCUCCGCCGACCAUUUCUGCAGGGGACAAGUGACAUUGAUCAAUUAGGAAAGAUUUUUCAAGCUAUAGGGACUCCAACACCUUCUCAGUGGCCUGAUUUAGUAUACCUCCCUGAUUAUGUGGAAUACCAAUCCGUUCCUGCACAACCUUGGCGUAAAUUGUUUCCAAUGGCUGGUGAUGAUGCUUUAGAUCUGUUGGCAAAGAUGUUUACUUAUGAUCCAAAAGUUAGAAUUUCAGUGGAACAGGCAUUAGAGCACAGGUACUUCUCAUCUGCACCUCUGCCUACAGAGCCGGCUAAGCUCCCUAGACCUGCCCCCAAGCAGGAAUCUGUCAAUCCCAGGGCUUCAGAUUUUCAUCCAAGGGAGGGACCCACUGUGUUGUCACCUCCAAGGAAGGCAAGAAGAGUGAUGCCUGACCGUGAGGGAUAUGAUGGAAAUGCAAAUCAAGUUGAUAAGAUUGAUGAACAUGGUGAAAUCAGACAGGCAGCUGGAAAUUAUACUGACAGGAAUCCGAUGUCAAUGGAUUUUUCUAUCUUUGGAUCAAGACCCAUGAGCAGACCCACAAUUAACAGCGCUGACAGAUCUCAUCUGAAGAGGAAGCUAGAUCUUGCAUUCCAGCACCCAGAAUAGAAACCAUUAAAACGUUAAUUUUUUACUGGAUUUUGCAUUUGCAUCUGAGGAUUUACUAUUCCAGGGCAUGGAUUUAUGAGGAGAGCAGCAUAAUUGGGAAGGUUUCAUGGCGACUUAUAAGUAAUGGUGGCCAUGGAUUAGUUUGGAACUAGAACAGUAUGGAAAUUGUUCAAAUGCGAAUUGACGAAAUUCGGUCUUGAUUUGAACAGGAACCAGCUGGCCCGGUUCCAGGGCAAAAUCAGACUUUUCUCUUUUUUAUUUUUUUUGAAAAAAAUACUUGAACCAGAUCAAACUAGGUUGAAACCAGAAUCAAGGGGACCCUUUUGUCCGGUUCUGGACUCAGUCUCCCGGGCCCUCGGAACUGUACCGUGGCCAGCCCUACCUAAAAGUAUGUUUCUAUUACUUGCUCUGCCCUCAGAUUUUUUAUUUUUUCUCAUGGAUUGAUGGAAUUUACUAUUCAAUUAUAAAUGUUCUCUUCUCCUCCAA